rnacentral:tRNA from 1 species
GGAGGGGUGUCCGAGUGGUUGAUGGUGACGGUCUUGAAAACCGUUGCUCCGGGACACCGGAGCCGUGGGUUCGAAUCCCACCCCCUCCG